rnacentral:misc_RNA from 1 species
GGGAACUCUGUUUUGCUUAUAAUCGUUUGAACAUCAUCACUUGUUGGCGACUCAGCAAUUUUCGUAGUCGAGAUAAUACAGUAUGGGUUUGCAAGUAUGUUGUAGAUGUUACCUAUGUAUUUCAGAAAUGUUCAGAGGAUUUUGGACUUGGAGGAGGCAGUAAUCUUGGUAUGGAGGUUCAGAACAUGGUUUUUCAUCCUGCUCUUCCGUACAUCUUGUAUUUGCAAAUAAGAGGAAAAGUUAUUGCUUGUGAUGUGUCCACGCGUACGGUAGAACUUGUAUAUGAUUUUGGAGAAGCUUGGCGAAAGACCCAAGAAUACAAAUUGUUUUCCUAUGAGUGGCCUCAAUGGCCGCGGCUUUUGUAGACUGUCAACAGGUUCAGAGCCCAAUACUAGCGGUAAGUGAUCCUAGUUUUGAGUUGUGAAUAUAUCGAAGUUCCUGGAUGUAAUUGCUUGGUUUCUCACAGCUCCUGGACGUCUCUAUCUUGUUUAUUUCCUGUCAUUAUCUUUCGGACUGUUGUAUUAAUUUCGAAUUCUCUUACUCAUGUCACUGGAUUUUUCGGGUUGUAACUGUAUUAUUUUGAAUUUCU